UACAGAGGUCUCAAGCGUUGUUCGGAUUCAUUGGGCGUAAAGGGUGCGUAGGCGGCGCGGUAAGUCGGGUGUGAAAUCUCGGAGCUUAACUCCGAAACUGCAUUCGAUACUGCCGUGCUUGAGGACUGGAGAGGAGACUGGAAUUUACGGUGUAGCGGUGAAAUGCGUAGAUAUCGUAAGGAAGACCAGUGGCGAAGGCGGGUCUCUGGGACAACUACUGACGCUGAGGAGCGAAAGCGUGGGGAGCGAACAGG
rnacentral:rRNA from 1 species